rnacentral:rRNA from 1 species
GCUUAACACAUGCAAGUCGAGGGGAAACGACAUCGAAAGCUUGCUUUUGAUGGGCGUCGACCGGCGCACGGGUGAGUAACGCGUAUCCAACCUGCCCACCACUUGGGGAUAACCUUGCGAAAGUAAGACUAAUACCCAAUGAUAUCUCUAGAAGACAUCUGAAGGAGAUUAAAGAUUUAUCGGUGAUGGAUGGGGAUGCGUCUGAUUAGCUUGUUGGCGGGGUAACGGCCCACCAAGGCGACGAUCAGUAGGGGUUCUGAGAGGAAGGUCCCCCACAUUGGAACUGAGACACGGUCCAAACUCCUACGGGAGGCAGCAGUGAGGAAUAUUGGUCAAUGGGCGAGAGCCUGAACCAGCCAAGUAGCGUGCAGGAUGACGGCCCUAUGGGUUGUAAACUGCUUUUAUAAGGGAAUAAAGUGAGAGUCGUGACUCUUUUUGCAUGUACCUUAUGAAUAAGGACCGGCUAAUUCCGUGCCAGCAGCCGCGGUAAUACGGAAGGUCCGGGCGUUAUCCGGAUUUAUUGGGUUUAAAGGGAGCGUAGGCCGGAGAUUAAGCGUGUUGUGAAAUGUAGAUGCUCAACAUCUGCACUGCAGCGCGAACUGGUUUCCUUGAGUACGCACAAAGUGGGCGGAAUUCGUGGUGUAGCGGUGAAAUGCUUAGAUAUCACGAAGAACUCCGAUUGCGAAGGCAGCUCACUGGAGCGCAACUGACGCUGAAGCUCGAAAGUGCGGGUAUCGAACAGGAUUAGAUACCCUGGUAGUCCGCACGGUAAACGAUGGAUGCCCGCUGU